UAAUCUUUGGUUUUUAACAUGUUCACAUUUAUGAUAUAGCAGCAAAGUAUUAAGAAUGAUUCCACCAUCUUCCAUAAACACAUUUUCAGCUCCUGCUGGAGAUCACUGUGACACUCAGUUUGAAUUCCACUGGAUUCAAAAGUUUCUCUUUGCCAAGGAUUCUUACUGGAUUAACCCCAAAACACCAAGGAAAAUGCAAAGGGACCUGAUAAUAUAUCUUUGGGGACAGCCUGAACUUUCUGGGUGACAGCCAUAAGUUGCCAUCCCUCCGGACAUCUCCAAAGCUCACAAGGACACAUGCCAGGUGGGAGCUGCCUCUGACCCAGCCAGAAUGUGGCUAGCCCACAAAGCCUCAGCCUGCUUGCUCACAGCUAUCCUCCUCCUGUGAUUCCAGUACCAGGUCCACCUCAGCCAAGAAGGCCAGAAUGCAAUCUGCUCAGGAUAUUGUUCCAUUGUGGAGUACUCAAGUGCAAAUGGCAGGCUACACAAGCACAGCUUUGUCAAAGAAGAUCAGGGAGCUGAAAUAGGAAGGCAGAGGGCAGUCGAGCUAUUGGCCUUGCUGAUCCCAAGUCUUGUUUCAUUUGGAUUAAAGGCUGAAUAGCAUGCCUUUCAAGGGACCUCAGAGAUUUCAUGUCCACUGCCGUGUGAUGAUAAUUCAGACCUGCAUUAUCUAUGAAACUGAUCAUGUCACUCCUCUGCUCAAAAAUAUUCAGUGGCUCUCUUUUUCUUCCUUAUAACCCUAUCUAGGUUUAUGAGAUAAUUAAAUUUUAAAUGACUAGUUUUGAUUUGGAAAAAGGGAACUAUUCCUUGAAGUUGUCAGUUGAAUGAGCUGCUAGAGUUAAAAAUUGACUUGGGAAGGAAAUGGCAAACCAUUUCAGUGUCCUUGCCAAGAAAAUCCCAUGGAUAGCUAUGGUCCAGGGGUUCACGAAGUGACAGACACAACUGAAUGACUGAACAACAGAAUAGUCAAAAAGAAAAAAAAACAAAAGAGAACAAAAAACUAGAAAUUAGUCUACUUUUGCACAAAGCCCAGGUGCUUUAUAUAUUUGGAGCACUGGACCCUAAUCUUUUCUUCCUCUUCAAUCCAUCCUCCACUUAUCUGCCAAAGUAAUCUUCCUAAGACAUAGACAAUUUUGAUGUGGCCAUUCCCCUUCUGAAGCCUUCAGUAGUUCCAUAAUGGCCACAGGACAAAGCAUGAAUUUCUUAUCCUAUCAUUUAAGGGCCUCUAUUGAUCUCUCUUGAAACUCCCAUUCUAUUUUUGCAUUGCUCCCCACCAUACAUUUUACUUAGUAGUUAAAUUGGAUAUUAUUUGUCAAACCUGACAUUUUUUCUGAGUCUGUAUAUUUGUAUUAGGCAGUUCUUUGUACUUGGAACAUGUUCUUUCCUUAUCCAAACUUUUCAGAAACUUUAUUUUCUCCAAGACUCAGUUUAGGUUCUGGAUUUUCCAUGUAGUCUCCACUAUUGGCCUCAGCUUAUUGUAUUUUGGCCUUCUGAUUUUCCAAGAGAAUUUUCUUUAAUUUCUCUUUUGUCCCCUUCCCUUCUUAUAUUUUAUUAUGUUUCUUUGUGAAUUUGUCACUGACACUACAGUGAAAAAUAAGCUGUUUGAGUGGAGGGACUCUCAUCUUUUAUUUUUAUUUCUCCAGUAAUAGAUAUAGACCCUUGUAUAUAAUAAAUGUUUGUUGAAUGAAUUAAUGAAUAGUAAU
ensembl:lncRNA